UUGUUCAUGUGAAGGAAAGAUUGUUGGCAUCUCCCCUGACACAGGAUGGGAAGCUUCUUGUUAUAUUAAUUCAUGCUGUUAAAGCUACCCGCUUACCCAAUUUUUUCU